rnacentral:rRNA from 1 species
UAAGCAUACUGGAAAGGGUGCUUGGAUAAA